rnacentral:rRNA from 1 species
AGCGAACGCUGGCGGCAUGCUUAACACAUGCAAGUCGCACGAAGGUUUCGGCCUUAGUGGCUGACGGGUGAGUAAAGCGUAGGACUCUAUCCAUAGGUGGGGGAUAACACUGGGAAACUGGUGCUAAAACCGCAUGAUACCAGAGGGUCAACGGCGCAAGUCGUCUGGGGAGGGGACUGCGUGCGAUUAGCUAGAUGGUGGGGGAAAGGCCUCACAAGGCGAUGAUAGAUAGCUGGUUUGAGAGGAUGAUCGGCCACACUGGGACUGAGGCACGGCCCAGACUCCUACGGGAGUCAGCAGUGGGGAAUAUUGGACAAUGGGGGCAACCCUGAUCCAGCAAUGCCGCGUGUGUGAAGAAGGUCUUCGGAUUGUAAAGCACUUUCGACGGGGACGAUGAUGACGGUACCCGUAGAAGAAGCCCCGGCUAACUUCGUGCCAGCCGCCGCGGUAA